rnacentral:tRNA from 1 species
GCCGGAGUAGCUCAGUUGGUAGAGCAACUGAUUCGUAAUCAGUAGGUCGGUGGUUCGAGUCCACUCUCCGGCACCA